rnacentral:tRNA from 1 species
GCCCAGAUGGUGAAAUUGGUAGACACGCCAGAUUUAGGUUCUGGUGCCGUGAGGUGUGUAGGUUCGAGUCCUAUUCUGGGCA